rnacentral:rRNA from 1 species
GACGUAGGAGGCGAGCGUUGUCCGGAUUCAUUGGGCGUAAAGAGCACGCAGGCGGUUUGGCAAGUCGGAUGUGAAAACCCGAAGCUCAACUUCGGGCCUGCAUCCGAAACUGCCCGACUAGAGGUAGGUAGGGGAGAUCGGAAUUCCUGGUGUAGCGGUGAAAUGCGCAGAUAUCAGGAGGAACACCGGUGGCGAAGGCGGAUCUCUGGGCCUGUCCUGACGCUGAGGCGCGAAAGCUAGGGGAGCGAACAGG